UUACACAUACCCCCAUAUGACGUCUCGAUUUGAUUGUCACAAACAAAUUUAAACGCAAACUGAGUUAAUGUGGGUAAAUUUUUAGCCGCAUCCAAGUUGGUGGGUAUCCAAGAUUCGACCCGACCGACCUUAAGCACGUUUUUACUUAUUCUAGUUGUUGUCUUCGGCAUUGAUGACAAAACGAUUUUGUGCAAAUGUCAUUCGUAAACUGACAGGUGGUCUGCAGCGGUGAAGUGACCGGCAAAUAAAAUACAAAACACACAACAAGACAUGGCUUACGAAUAUCGCAAUUCGUAUAAUGCAAACGAUGCACAGAACGUUUUCAUUAACAACAGCAGCCAGAAAACAGAAGGAUGAUAUUUUCAACCAUUGAAUGAGUGAGCAGAAGAUGCAGAUUAAACAGACAGAUAGGAUCCUGCCAGGGUGCUAGCAAAUUAAUUAAAAAAGGGGUUAACAAUUUAAAGAGAUGACUGAUAAUGGACUGCACGUAACAAAAAUACCAAAAACACAAUUUACAUGCGUGUGUAUCAAAUUAAGCUGUUGUCUGCGAUACAGAUUUCGAAUUAUGAUACGAAAAGGAUAAAGGCUGUGUGCAAAGGAAUGAAAUAAAAAAAAAGGCAAAUAACAAUGGCGCUGAGUUUGGGCAGCCCGAAGGGCCUACUACAAAGGAUGUUCCAUCAAGCGUUUGUAAUUUAGUACGGCCCUUAUUAAAAUCGCCUAACUAAAUUGGUGGUGUUAUGUGGCUAUGAUUACAAUGAAACAAGUAAAAACGUGUCAAGUUCAGCCUGGGCGAAUCUUGGAUACCCACCACCAUGGAUUCCGCUAAAAAUGUACCCUUAUUAACUGGAGUUUGUAUUUGAAUUAUUUUAAAGCAAUCAAAUCGGGAAUUUAUUGAGGUCUCAAGAAGUCAUAUCGGUAUAUCGGUACAUAGGACUGGCACUUAUGUUGAAGAAAUCGUUCAGCGGACAUGACAAAAUAUUAUCCAUAUUGGAGUAUAUUUAAUAUCUGGCUGUAAUAAAUGGUUCUAUCUGGG